CUUGCUCUGUGGAUCAGUGGCGAACGGGUGAGUAACACGUGAGCAACCUGCCCUGGACUCUGGGAUAAGCGCUGGAAACGGCGUCUAAUACUGGAUACGAGACGUGGCCGCAUGGUCAACGUUUGGAAAGAUUUUUUGGUUCAGGAUGGGCUCGCGGCCUAUCAGCUUGUUGGUGAGGUAAUGGCUCACCAAGGCGUCGACGGGUAGCCGGCCUGAGAGGGUGACCGGCCACACUGGGACUGAGACACGGCCCAGACUCCUACGGGAGGCAGCAGUGGGGAAUAUUGCACAAUGGGCGAAAGCCUGAUGCAGCAACGCCGCGUGAGGGAUGACGGCCUUCGGGUUGUAAACCUCUUUUAGCAAGGAAGAAGCGAAAGUGACGGUACUUGCAGAAAAAGCGCCGGCUAACUACGUGCCAGCAGCCGCGGUAAUACGUAGGGCGCAAGCGUUAUCCGGAAUUAUUGGGCGUAAAGAGCUCGUAGGCGGUUUGUCGCGUCUGCUGUGAAAACUGGAGGCUCAACCUCCAGCCUGCAGUGGGUACGGGCAGACUAGAGUGCGGUAGGGGAGAUUGGAAUUCCUGGUGUAGCGGUGGAAUGCGCAGAUAUCAGGAGGAACACCGAUGGCGAAGGCAGAUCUCUGGGCCGUAACUGACGCUGAGGAGCGAAAGGGUGGGGAGCAAACAGGCUUAGAUACCCUGGUAGUCCACCCCGUAAACGUUGGGAACUAGUUGUGGGGACCAUUCCACGGUUUCCGUGACGCAGCUAACGCAUUAAGUUCCCCGCCUGGGGAGUACGGCCGCA
rnacentral:rRNA from 1 species